AGCGCCUUGUGCUUCGAACCUGCGAAGAAGCUCGACUCGACUCUGAACGUCGACGCGUUAAUGAAGCGGCGUCGGGACGCCAGUCCGUUCGCGCUGGUGCUCAUUGGUUUGAGGAAAUAUCGUGCACGUGAAAAGUCGCAACUAAACGAGAGCUAUUAUUGUGUGUAAUAAUCAUUUUUUAAAAAAUGAUUUUUUUAAAAAGAAAGUGUCGCUGUCUCGUUAAAUCGCUUUUGUUUAUUGUUUCAGAUACUUUAAUGGAAAUCGUUAAUAAAAUAUUUGAAAGGGAUAUCAGUACCUCGAAAAUAAUUAAAAUCGAAUUUAAACGUAUGGCUUAACGAUGACAUCGAAAAAACAGUGUUUGGAUGUUUAAUAUCAUUUUCGUGGGUUUCGAUAAUUUUAUUAAGUGGAUAUACUGUUGAGUGAGGAUUACGAAAUAUCGGCGUUCGCGGUAUAAGAAAAAUAGUCUGUGGGACACGUGAAAACUGUGAAAAACUAAUAUUAUACGUACAGUGUGAAUAUUCGGUUUUGGAUUUAUUGAAAAAAAAAAUAUUGGUGCGACGGGUGACGAAUGAAAGUAGCCAAAAAUCGCGAGAAUCGAAAGAUCCUUUUCGUCCUAUUAAUUUUUUCCUAAUUUUCGUUCUCCCUUCAACUUUGUUUUCUUGCACUUGUUCCUUCUCUCUCGUUGUCACGCAGUCUGGUUUCCCCCCUGAACUUACUACUGAACUUAUUUAUCAUUGUCUCCCAUCAAUAAUCAUCAGCGUUGAUCUGAACACUAUGAGAAUCAUAUGGACGUGCAAAACAGCCUCGAUAAUCGCAUUGUGAAUUUCGCAACCACGCUGGACCACAGGGACACAAUCAUCGAGAAUUUCCUGUUAACGGUCGAUGCUGCGCGCCCGAUUUGAAAUUUCGGUGAAACGUGGAUUUUGCGACUCUCGCGAGAUCGGCGAACGUUAAUAUUUUGAAGGAUAACAUUGACGAUGUAACAACACGUUAAAUUUGCGCAACGCGGAAGAGCAGCGCGAAUCACGCGUUCGAAAUUCGAAUGUCAAUAUUACGUAAUGACGUAAAUAAAAGAAAAAAAAAGAGCAAAGUAAAACGUGGAUCAAAAGAGAAUAGCGAUGGAAUUUAAUUUUCAAAAAUUUGAAAAAAAAAUUAUCUUUUGUACUUCUUUCUUGUUUUGUUUCGUAUGCUAAUACACUCGGUGCUACCGUCGCCAUUGCUGCCACUACACAAAAACAGUCACGCGAUCAAUAUGCUAAUUUCGCUGUAAUUUUUGUUUUUCAUUUUUUUUUUAUUUUGUUAUUUGCCCUUAUUUUUUUUUUCGUUCCACUUUUCCUAACUUUGUCUUCGAAGUGGGGAUCCUUAAUUGUUUAUAACAAACAUGAAUUUUGCAUUUAAAAUAAAAGACGUAACCAUGUCGCUCAACAUGACAUCGGUGCAUGGCACAGACAGCGCGUCGCGACGCUUCGACAGUCACGCGACACUUUUUAAAACGACGGAGGCGCCUCGCCAGGCUUUGAGACGCACAACCUGCGACUUUCAUCAAAGAGAGAAUAAUUCGUCCUUGGAAACGUAAUGUAGCCGCCGAGCGAUACGAGCGAAUUUGAAGAAAACAAGAAAAAGAGAAAAAUACUUUAAAAAAAAAAAAAUAUAGAACAAAAAAGCAGGAGUGCAUAUGAAUUAAAUAAAAUCGACUAUUUCGGGAAAGAUUUUCCCGGAACGAUUAAACGCUGGUUAGCGGGUCCAAAAUACGUAGAAUAAUGAAAAUUCAGUGUGUAUAUAAAGGGAAAAAAGGGUAAACUAAUCCGUGUACAAUUCUAGUGGUGAAAUAUCGUUUAAGAUCUUCUUCUUCGUGGUCCAAUAAUAAAAGAAAAAAAAUAAUAAUAAUAAAAGUACAUUCGUAUUUCCUCGCGGUCCAAAAAAAUAUAGACACUCAAUCUACUGUCCAAAAUUUAUUUUGUAUGAUCCUACAAUAUUUACGAUAAACGCAAAAAAAUAAUGAUACGAGCUUUAAUUAAUCAACUAGAAUUCAUAUAAAGUAUAAGUAUUUACUUAUGCCUGUAACGUAAAUGGCGUUUGCUAAUACAAGGAAUUUCAUGAAACAAUACUGAUCCUCGGCCUGGGAUAUACUGGAAUGUACGGAAACAAUUUAUAAUUCGAAAUAUCUCGGAUUAACAGAAACUUGCGAAUUGAGCAUCAAGAAUAACGGAUUUGAUGAACGGCGACCAAAACGUGGAUUCCACAUUUCACCAGAAAAUCAUAGGCAUGGCAUCCUCAAGUAGAUACAACAGCUACAACUGCCUCACUAGCUGGGAUAGUUACGAUCGUAUACCAAGAUAAAAUCUUUGACUGAUCAACAGUCAGGGCGAUUUGGUCUACGAACAAAAGGUACAUAAACACGGAGGUACGUUAACAAGCGUGUUCUGUCGCAAGAAAUCAAAGCGAAAUUUCCUCGCCUUCAGAUUUCAUCGAUUCUACGCCAUUUCAUUCGGGCACGUGGAAUUCCAAAGUUACUGUAGGAAUGUCCUUUGAUAUUUUUUCCAACACCCUUUCGCAAUUCCUUUGACAGACAUUGUCGAUGUCUAUUGCAAAUAUCAAUUUCCCAUUCGUCUAUUCCUAUUGAGUUUCAAGUGUACGCUCUUGGCGUCUAUGAUCGAAAUUUACAGUGGUGGAUAUCAAUAUAAAAAAUUUCAGGACGUUUUCGUUAAUCGGAUGAUUUAAGGACUUCACGGAGUAUUAACGAACAUGUGAACUCGCAUUGUGUCCGACUUCUGUUCGCGUGGCUCGGUCAGACUUGGCAGGGAGGAACUGCCAAAGUCAAGCAGUCGGUAAAUAUUUGACCCGAACCUCCAACCUAACCUAACUUCCUAAUCCCUUUACGAGGACCCCCACUACACCGCACCCUUCCGCGUCCAUCGACCCCUCUUCCAUGACUGUAAUAUCAGGCCAAAAGGUUAGAUGGAAUUCGUCGCGAGGCGUAAGGAACUUUGUGUAUAAAUGAUGACUCCUCGGAAAACGACUUUUCGUUUGAGUCUCUAGUGCCAUCAUAAUGCUCGCAAUACUUCACCACGUACAACCCUUAAGGUCGAUAAGAGAAUCGUUCCGCAUUGGCAAUGUGAAAAAACUGCUAGGAAAUAUCAUACAUAACGAAUGCAGGUACGACGUUUUAGGAAUUGAAAAUGUAAAUUGAAAAAAAUUUAAAUUAAAAAUUAAAAAAAAUUGAAAAAUAAUUUAAGUAUCGAUUGCGCUUUUGUUUCGUGGGUUGCUCUGUAUAGACGGUACUGUUAUGUGAUAUUAAAGCUUGCAGUGUUGGUGCUUGUGUGAAAAAUAAAUUUACAUGUGUUUAAGGUUUUUAUUUUUUAAGUAAAAAUUUGAAAAUUAUUAAUAUUGACAUUUGAGACGAUUUAGCCUAUCGGUGCUGAUAAUCAGUCGGAUGGGCUCAUGGGCAGUAUGUCCUAUUUGAUUUAUUAUUUUUUGCGAUCAUAGCUAUUGCAAUCUUUUACCCAUAAAUGUUUUUUUUUUUAAAUACGUAAUAAUCAUACAUUUAUUUUAGUCAGGAAUUCAUUAAAAUAAUUUCUAGCAAGUCUUACACAUUGUUACAUUACAAGGGUGUGAACAAUACAAAAGAUAACGUAAAUAUCUGUUGCAGGAAAUUGCUCCUCCUGACCAUUGGGUCAGUGAGCAAUAGUAAAUUGAAUCCCUAUUUUAUUCGUGACUCUCAGCCCAAAUAAUUACGUCAGAGAUUUUCAUGCUAAUUAUCUUGAAUAUUUAUUUUUAUUUUUAACAGAAUUCUGCUACUCGCAUACAUCGCAUACUGUCAGCGCGAACACCCUGUAUAUAGCUUGAUUACACGAGAAUAUUAAAUACGAGACACCUACACGUUUUAUAUCGAAUAAUGUAGGAAUUCAUUCAGAAAUAUUUAUGAGCUAUUGGUAUUGUGUAAGUGGCACCUGCUAUUCGUGAUGGAUCUAACAAAAAUUCAUGUUAUUAUCGUCUGACAGCAUUCUAAUUGCCCGGCAAUCGUUACUGUCUCCAUUGACAUAGAAACUGCCGAAUGCAGACGGUGGGGUCAUCAAGCAGUUUCGUUAAGUCAUGAAUCCUUAUAAACUAAUACAAUUCAUCUGGUGGCCUGGGUAAACCCAGUUCUGUCAUAGCCGUUAAUUCUUCAAUUGAACGUGAAAUAAAUUACGUCUGGCCUUGUUUGUACGCAAGAAGCUACUGUUGGAGAAUGUAGUUUUAUUUAUUUUACAUAUACGAUUAUAGAGCCUGAAAAUAUUAUGAUUUUUCAGUACGAAUAGCGCGAGUGGAGUAAAUCUUAAGAAAAUGAAACGAAUACAAGACAAAUAAAACUCGAGAAUAUAAUGUUAUUUAUUCUAUAAGCAUACGAUUAUAAAGCCUAACAGUAAUAUGGGUUAUCGGUGCACGAAUAGUGCGUAGAGUAACUCCUAGAAAAACUAAACGAAUACAAAGCACAUCGAUAUUCUUAACAUGGAAGUAAUAGGUAUACUGCACGUGUGCACACACACGUCCCUUACUAUAGAUUACAUUAUGCUUCGUGAAAGUUGAACGUAGGUCGUCAAUGCUACCAAAUAGCCUUCGAGGCAUAGACUACAUAUAUCUAUUGCUAAUUUUCAAGAAAAAUCAAUACCACCUACUGGACAUCAAUAAUGGACAUUACAGCAGUGUUUUAUGUGAGCGCUUUCAGUUUGUGUUUAUUUAAAAAAAAUGUCAAUAGUAAUUUUACAUUGUAUUUUAUUACGCCGGAAAACAAUUUAUGACGUAAUCCAAACUUGUUUAAGUGUUGAACAAUUUGGUAUUAAAAAUUGUCACGAUAUGCUGUGUAGAAAAGGGAAGAGUUUAUACAGUUUGGAAAGGGGCUGGUGUUAUUUAGUUCAUUUAUCUCGGGCUUUUGUUAAAAAGAGAAUUUGACACCAGUUUAUGAGUCAAAGCACAAAUUGCAUAUUUGUUUUUAACAUUGUCGUGCGUUAUUUAAUUUUAUACAUAAAAUCCGUCUUCUAUGACUCAAAAUUUCGAAAAAUAUUUAUCGAAUCUAAUACUUGCGUAUAUUUUCUUUUUUGUUAGAUUCUGUCGUGACAAUUAAAAAAAAAAACUAAUUAUAAAACCAAUUACUACGGCCAAAAAUAACGCAGGGUCUGUCAGACUCUUAAUAGGCAUCAACUUAUACAAAAACUAUAAUGGGCAUUCUAGGGCUAAAUUCGAUAUACGUAAAACACACUUUUUCUUUAAAGGGAUUACUAAUUAUUUGUAAUAAUUAUGCACGUUCGUUAAAAUAAAAAUCAUUUACUUUUUUAACCUAUUACUUAUAUCCCGCAAAGUAUUGGCAGCUUAAGAUUCUAAUAUUGCUCAGCUGCGCCGCAUAAAUUGUUGGCCCUUCUUGGAAGGAUGACCAUUAAUUAACCCUCCAGUAGUCGGGCUACGAACUCACAGUUCCCAUUAAUCAAUUUUUGUUUAACUUUUAUGGCUUCAUUACCUUCAGUUUUCAGUACCUGGUUAACUAUGCUUAAUUGAGUUAAUUAUAUACAAACAAGAUUAAGCAAUUAAUCAAAUUGAUCAUAUUGAUCAUUUCAAACUGAGAGUCCAUGUGCGAAUAACGAUAGGGUGGAUAGCCGAAUCAUCGGCCACGUACUAGUAAUCGUCAGUGUGUGCUUUUACUAUAGCAAAAUCUACAGUACAACACAACUGACGAUUAUUGCUACAUGACCGACGACUGAGCUAUCCAGCUUAUAUCACGUUUUCCAAUUCAGCCUAAAAAGGCUUUGUCAAAUUUUUUCAAUAAUGAAAAUCAUAAUAGCGACACCCCAUCUGUUGAUCUUUUAUUGCAUAAUCGAACGCCAUCUAGUUUUAUUACCUGAAUAAUAAUUUCAUAUGAAAUUACCGUCUUUCAGAGAUCGGAUGCUCAAAUUAUAUCUACAAUAAACAUUUUUUGUCGAUAAGCGUCCACGAAUGAGUGCUGAAUUUAAAAGUUUGUAAUUAAUUUUUAUAUCAACAACCCUUAAAAAAAACUCAAAAAUCCAAUUACAAGAUUUUUGGACAGACGUCUAACCGAUUUUACACAAUUUCUACAAUAUUUAAUCCUUUAACACUGCCGCUCAUGUCACUCGGGCGUCUGCUAAAGUGUGUUGUGUAAGCAUCAAAAAUGUUUAGUAGCACGUGACAACAUUUUUCGGCCUGCACGUGAGCGCUAUAAGACGAUAAAUCCAGCUUGAAGCACCGCAAUAAAUACUGAGCCUGGUGCUGUUUUAGGUGAUUUCUUUUUCUCCCUGUGUUGUAUUUAUCCCCAUCCAGGGUAAAUAAAAAGAAAGCGUAUAGUCAGCUCACGAGUUCAAUGUGUGGUUUUUUUUUGGACAGAUUUAAAGGAAAGAUGUCUGUAUAAAAUCACACGUGGCUUUGCAUUAGUUUUUUCUUACAAAGUAUGCUUGUAUAUAAUUUUUCACUGAAAUAUGUGUAUUUUAUUUCUCUACCUUAGCAUAUAUUUCUGUGACUUUAUGAAAAGCCAUAUAUGGUUUCCUAAGAAUCGCAUUGCUUUGCCAACUGUCAAAAAAAUCUCAAAUAUCCUUUAUAACUUGACACUAAUAUAUAAGCGAACAAUCAUAACGCAAAAAAAAAAGUUUACGUCGUUUCCCCAAUAAAUUACGUUCAGGAUGAAUUCAUCACGCGUCAUUCAGUUAUUCGCGUUGCUGUUUUAUGAAAAUAAACUUAAUAUUGUCGUUAAACUUAAAAUCGUCUUGUUUCAUUCCUUGUGACACAAUAUGCUAUUGUAUCAUGUUCGCCCUUCAAAAACAAAUUACAUCUCUAAAACAUUCGGAUCUUUGCAAUCAAGACAAAAUAUUUAUGUAGGUAUCUAGUUUCAAGUGGACUACCCUGUACAAUUGUUAUUGUAAGCCUAAGCUCUAUCUAAAAAUACGCACAGCAUCAAUAAAUUUGGUAAAUGAAAAUAUAAUCCAAUACUAAAAUACAUAAUUUGACACUAUAAUAUAUACUUAAUUAUUUUUGAUGUUCCAUCGGGAUUACGAGGGAAUAAAAUUAUUUUUCAUACGUACGUGUUGUCACAUGGAUGAGAGUUGGAAACGAGAAAACUUCACACAGAAAAAUAUCAUUAUAGAAAGCACUGUCAAUAAAUUUAUUCCACCAAGUCGAAGCCUUUUCAUAACAUGUCUUUUCGUGCGUAGUCGAAUUUUAAAAAUGAUUUCGUAGAAAAUACUUCAAGUGAAUAUCCAGUGACAACCCUGCGUAUCCAACACUUAUCGCGCUGUUGGACACAACUACCGAUAAAGAUCGAAAAAGGGCACACGGGUAAACUUUUACAUCUGCCAUCGUUACACCAUAUCGCUGAGAAUCGCAUCCGAAUAGCCAAUUUCGAGAGUUUACGGUGCGAACGUGUUGAACAGUCAACAAGAAAAUUUUCCUCGUUUAUAACUUCAGCCGUUUGCCACAGCGAGCGUUAGUAGUAACCCCUACGUCACGUCUAGUCCCAAUGUGGACGGUCCGUAGACAGUGGUGCUCUUUCUUCACGAUCAUUUCUAGUUAGGCCGCUUUUAUACCUAACAGCUGCAUGUUUUUGUAUAAUUGCUCCGGCCUUUUUGCUCCCUGUCCCACAGUGCUUAAUUCUGAACGUUCAGUGCAGAUUCCAAGCUCUAAAGUAAAUAAUAUUAACGAACUUUUUUUCGCUUCCACAUAAUACGCCAUUGAGCAUUAUCGAAGCAACGGAGUCCUGCAAUAAUUCUACAGCCUGCGAGCAAAAGCAUUGUCAACGCGAGGCAAGUAAAUAAAGUAUUUUUCCACAACACAAGGCAGCAUCGUCAACCUAAAGUCCGACGAGAAUUUCCAUUCUCACUAAUUACUUAAUAAAACUAUUACUAAGAAAUUGAAUCUCAUUCAAACUAGUUUCUCUUCAAAGGCUGCCAACCAUCCAAUCACUGAUUUUCCUUUCCGCUAAAGUAAUACUCCAAUCAGCGUGAUCGAUAGAGUCUGCCUCAUCCAGCUAUUGAUGUGUUACAUCAUCAGUCAAUCUUCGUAAUGAUACUAUCAGUUUGAUCGUGUGUUGUGGAACCACGUGCAUAGUUUAAACCUACCCGUUCGGAUUAUAUUGCGAAAUUACAACUAAGAAGCGAAUAGGGGUUUGCGUGGAUUAAUGGCAGGUUUUCGAAGUUCAUUAGGUAACCGUUCACAUGGGAGUUGUACAACGUUCAAUGAAAAAGAAGCUUAUCGCAUAUACAUGAAAAUUGUUGUACGGGAAUCUCUUUUACUUUAAACCUGUGAAUAUUUAUGUUACGAUUCGUUGGCUGGAGUGAGUGUGUUAUAGGUAAAUUAUCAUUAGGCAAUGACAAGACGAGAAAAUAAUUGCGCGGAAAAAGAAAUUUUUCCGUCUAUUUGAAAUUUGUUUAUUAACAGUAAAUUUUUGUAUAGUUUAUACGUGAUACUUUUGUU